GCCGGGGUAGCUCAGUCAGUAGAGCAGGGCUUUCGUAAAGCUCAGGCCAAGGGUUCGAAUCCCUUCUCCGGCU
rnacentral:tRNA from 1 species